AUCUCCAAACCAUCCCCACACUUGUCAGUGGAAAAAGUGUCUUCCGUGAAACCAGUCCCUGGUGCCAAAAAGGUUAGGGACUGCCGGUUUAAAUAACCAAAUGCUAAAAGAACUGGCAUAGAAGUAAAUGGGCUGCUGCUUUAUUUUUAGGCUGUUCUUUUUAGAGAGCAAUGACAGUUAUUUCCAAGUUUGUCAUUAGAAAAUAAUAUUAGGUUGGAGCAAAAGUAAUUGCAGUAUUUGCCAUUGCUUUCAAUGGUAAAAGGCACAAUUACUUUUGCAGCAACUUAAUAUUAUAAAUUUGUUCUUAAAGUGUAUUUUUGAUAAGAAAGCCGUUUUGUUUUUCCUUCUGUUAAUUUUUUGUUUUUUUCUUGGUCGAGACAGAGUCUUGCCAUGCUGCCCAGGCUGGAGUGCAGUGGUGUGAUCUCGGCUCACUGCAGCCUCCACCUCCUGGGCUCCAGCAGUCCUCCCACCUCAGCCUCCCUAAGAGCUGAGACUACAGUGCACAGCCAGAGGACAACACAUCACACACAAGAAACAGUUGUGCUCAUGUGAUGGGGGCCUCAGCACUAGGAAGGAGUGGACUGUUGGCGCACGCAGCAGCUUGAAUAAAUCUGAAAGUCACUACGCUGCGUAAGAGAAGCCAAAUAAAGCGCAUGCUGUGUACAGAGGGUGUCGAGAAUGCCUCCUACGUGACGGAAAGCAGAUCCGUGGUUCCCUGCAGACUGGCAGGAGCAGAUUCCAAAGGCACAGGAAGAAGCUUGCAGUACAAAGAUAAAAAUCUAAAGUGGUUGCUGUGGAGGACAGGGGUCAGUGGUGGAAGUGAGACCGAAAUAGACUCUGAAGUAAUAUCUGGACUUUGAAAUUGUUGCCUGUUCACUCUGCCUGGUCAUAUGCAGAAAACCGAAACUAGACCCCUUGCUGACACUUAUACAAAAAUUAACUCAAGAUGCAUUAAAGAUUUAAACGUGAGACCUAAAACCAGAAAAAUCCUAGAAGAAAACCUAGGCAACACCAUUGAGGACGUAAGCAUGGGCAAAGACUUCAUGACUAAAACACCAAAAGAAAUGGCAACAAAAGCCAAAAUUGACAAAAGGUUUCCUUAAUGACAACAAAAAAGGGAGUAAUCCUACCCACUGUAAGAGUCAUGACUCUUGAUUGCAGCUGACAGAAACUCAUGACAGCCUGCUUUAGAUGAAGGGGGAGAGAAGGACUGGAAGAAUCUUGGAGUUGGGAAUGUCACACGUAAUUGAAGGAAGAACAAGAAAACUAUAAUUCUUCCCCUGGAGGCUGGAGUUUCCAGGAUGUCAAAAUUACCUCUGCUUGGGUGAGCUAUUUCAAGCAGCUGGGAUACCUGUGUCACUCCUGCUGUCUGCCAGUGACUGCCCAGGUGUCUGCUGGUUCCUCCCCAGGAGUAGGGAGGAACCAGGUGGGCUGGCUGGGAUGGGUGGAUAUUUAAAGACCAGGCCUUGGACGCUG
rnacentral:lncRNA from 10 species